rnacentral:lncRNA from 1 species
GUAUGGGGUUAAAUAUGUUAAAAUUUUUAAAACUUAAUCCUAAAUUGACAAAAGCAUAGCUAAUAAUGAUAGCUGAGGUGAAUAUUAGUUCACUGAUACCCUUUUCUUGUAAGUAUUUUAUUCUAGAUUUAAAAUUUUGCCCGAAAUUUAAUAGGGGGUGUCAGAAUCAGCCCCGAAAAGUGAAUGCUCUGCUUCUAGUAUUUGAAGAAGAAUUUUUUUUUGGAAAAAAAAUGUGUCGUUUAAUUUUUUCAUAAAACACAAGCAUUUGGAGUGCUAUACUAGUCGGUUGUUCUUGCAAAAUUUUUUUAAAAUUUAACCGUUAGAUUUUUUGGUAUUUAAGUUUAAAGUACCCCCAUCCUCAAAUUGGUUCAUUAAAUAAGGGCAAAAUCUAUUCAAAAAGUG